UAGGCGGACGGGUGAGUAAUGUCUGGGAAACGUGCCUGAUGAGGGGGAGUAACUACUGGAAACGGUAGCUAAUACCGCAUAACGUCGCAAGACCAAAGAGGGGGACCUUAGGGCCUCUUGCCAUCGGAUGUGCCCAGAUGGGAUUAGCUAGUAGGUGGGGUAACGGCUCACCUAGGCGACGAUCCCUAGCUGGUCUGAGAGGAGGACCAGCCACACUGGAACUGAGACACGGUCCAG
rnacentral:rRNA from 1 species